GAUCAUGGCUCGGAUUGAACGCUGGCGGCAGGCCUAACACAUGCAAGUCGAACGGUAACAGGAAGAAGCUUGCUUCUUUGCUGACGAGUGGCGGACGGGUGAGUAAUGUCUGGGAAACUGCCUGAUGGAGGGGGAUAACUACUGGAAACGGUAGCUAAUACCGCAUAACGUCGCAAGACCAAAGAGGGGGGACCUUCGGGCCGUCUUGCCAUCGGAUGUGCCCACGAUGGGAUUAGCUAGUAGGUGGGG
rnacentral:rRNA from 1 species